UGCCAGCCGCCGCGGUAAUACGAGGGGUGCAAGCGUUAAUCGGAAUUACUGGGCGUAAAGCGUACGCAGGCGGUUUUUUAAGCCAGAUGUGAAAGCCCCGGGCUCAACCUGGGAAUAGCAUUUGGAACUGGGGAACUAGAGUCUUGUAGAGGGGGGUAGAAUUUCAGGUGUAGCGGUGAAAUGCGUAGAGAUCUGAAGGAAUACCGGUGGCGAAGGCGGCCCCCUGGACAAAGACUGACGCUCAUGUACGAAAGCGUGGGGAGCAAACAGGAUUAGAUA
rnacentral:rRNA from 1 species